rnacentral:tRNA from 1 species
GCCCGGGUGGCGGAAUAGGUAGACGCAGCGGACUUAAAAUCCGCUGGCUUUUGGCCGUGCCGGUUCGAGUCCGGCCUCGGGCACCA